GGGGGAGGGGAGGCUCACACCCUGCGGCGGCUUAAGCCUGGAUUUACGCACUGGAGGAGGGAAUUAGCCCUGAGAUGUCAGCCCUGUGCCCCUGGCUCUGUCCACCCGGACGCCCGCGGAGCGCCAGGCGCCGCAGCGGACCGCGCGCGCACUGAUUGCCGCAGCUACUCUCCCUGCUGUCGCCGCCCGGGACCGGGUGACAUUGAGGUUUUCGUCUAUCGCCGCUGGGCCGAUAGGGCUUCUUUUUAAGAUUUGGCUUUCCAAGUAAGAUUUUUGUUUGCCUGCUUUUCUCCUGAAAUUUUUUUGGUUUUGGUCGAAGAAGCAGCUCCCACUUUGCAGUUGUGUCAGCCAAUCACGACAGCUUCCCAGACUUCCGUGCAAGUGCCUGCUUUGAGGCCAAGGUGGCCAUAAAUGGCAGCUCCUCAGGCUCCUCCACAAUCUCUGGUUUCUUAUGUUUCUCCAUGAGCUCAGCUUUUUCAUCGACUCCAAUGCUUCAAGCCAAAGUCAUUAGUGAAUGUUCUACAAUCCUUCAGCUGCAGCUCCAGGCCUUCACUCCUCCAGCUUCUCCUACAUCCAUCUAACCCUCAAUUCCUACAUUAAAUCUCUUUAUUCCAGAAUA
rnacentral:antisense_RNA from 1 species